AUAGCAACAAGGUUUUAUUUACUGGGUUUUUUUCAUCAUCAAGUAUUGAUAAUUUUUAUCAUCUUCUGCUGGAAAUGUAUGGAGCUGGUUUUUGUCAGCAAUUAAUUAAAUGCUUUUCAAAUAUCUCAUUAAAUUACAUCUGAACACUUGCCUUUAGCUACCAAAUUUAAUCAUAUCAAGGAGAGAAAUCAGGAUUUUGGAAUGCGAGUUUUCAUUUCUUCCUGAAGGCUGAGACUGGAUAAGUGCAUUUGGAAAAUUUCUUCUUCUGUCUGCCAGUAAAAAAAAAUAAAGAUUAUUUAAAUGUAUUUAAUAUUCUCUGCAGAAGUGCAGCAUUGAUGCAUAGAUAGGGAAGACGAGGGAUGCAACUGCUGUGACUCUUGCCUGGGGCUCCCUGCAGCUUUCUGCUUGCUAGGAGCCCAGCUGCACACAGAAAAAACGCGAAGAGCAGCAGUGGCCUCUGGUGGUGAUAGGCUUGUUCUGUGCUGAACGUUGUUACGGUUCUUGGUCGUUUCAGCAGUUAAAUACAGCCUGCAAUUCCAUGGGAUAAGGCAGCAUCUGCUCACAAGAUUUCAGUUAGACCCAAAGACAGGAUUCUGAAACAAGGAAACUCAAUUGAAUUGCUAUCUUAAAAACUCUUUGCACAAGCUUGUUAUUCCAACUACUAGUUCUUUUUCUGUUCCAAUUUAGCUGUAGGAUUAUCUGUAUUUUACGUGAGCUCUGCAUUAGGAUUAAGCACUUUGAAUCGUGAGUUCUGUUGCAGUUUUGCAUGGAACUGCCAUGUACUUCCCAGGAAAGCAAGCAGGACAGUAUGUGCAGCACCUUCUGUCUGGACUGAUAUCAGCAAAAAUUGUAUGUCAUUUUUCAAGUCUAAUGCAAAAAGCAACUUCAGUUUCUAUACUGGCUUUUCAGCGUUAUUGUUCCCUGCGUGACUUUCAGUGUUCAGCAGUAGUACACACAAUCAGGGUUAAUUUUGUACCACAAAAGUCUGUGUGUCCCAAAUUUAUGUGGUAUUUCAGUGCAUAUCAGUGUUCAGCAUCACAUUCAUUCCUUACAAAAUUAGCUUUGCAUAAGAGCUGAAGAGACAUCAAAUUUUGCUUCAGACCUUCAAGGAGCCCCUUGUGUUGGAAGAGAAAAGUAACACUUCUAUGAAGAAUAUAUGGAACAGAUGUUGAAGAGCAUAUAAAAAUAACUUUUUAUUAAUAAGGAAGUGCUAACUCAGAUGUCUAAAAUACUGUCUUUGAAUUUACAGCCAUUUUCAGUCUACCGAAGCUAUUUAAUGUGUGACUUACGUUCUUUGUCUAUAUGAUUGACGUAUUUUCCAGCUGUGCUUUGCAGCUCUUGGAAGAAAGGCACUUAAUGCAUAGCUAAAACUGUUGCUCUGCGUGUUGAGUGAAUCUGUUUGAAGAAAUGCUGGUAUUUCAAUGUAUUUUAAAAAUGUUGUAUUUUGUAAAGAAUAAAAUAACCCACAGCAGUUUCUCUUUACAGUCUGUUGCAUUAUUCUGGAGGUGCUGCACAGAACUUUUCAGAUUUGGGGUGUGCCCUAGUGUUACAAGCCAGUGCCUUUUCAGCUUGUCACCCUUGGUUGUGCUGACAUCCUUGUGGGAAGGAGAGGACCACAAUUGAGAUAUGGUACCAAC
ensembl:lncRNA